rnacentral:lncRNA from 1 species
AAGCCUUUUCUUUUAUUUUUGAAAAACAUCAUAAUUAUUUUCUGAUCUUAAACUUCUAAUUACUAUAGAUUAUGGUUGAUUUUUAAUUAGAAAAGCAUUAUUUCAUAUUUUAUGUAUUUGCAAUUAUUAAGUAUUUAUUUAAUACUUUUAAUAAAAGGCACUAAAUAAAUACCCAAAAUGUUUCUAUAAACAAUUAAGUUUUAACAAUUUUAAUGUAUAAAGGAGAUUAAACAAACCUAGAAAAAUUUAUUUCACUAUUUUUGGGUGCUUCUAGGAAUUUUGGUGAAUUAAACAAUUAAAUACACAUUUCAGCUAUUUAUUCGCAAAAUGAAAACUCUCAACAUUAUCCACUCCCCCGCAAAACCUUUUUCUCACGCGGCCCGCCCCUACCCGAGCCAAUGACAUGUGGGCCCCCGUAGCCAGGCCUUCCCCUACCUAGCGCCAGAGGCAAGGCACCGGCGAGAAGGCCAGGCAGCUCGCCAGCGAUGGGGCCGGGCCAGGGAGCAACCCCAGGCAACGGCGCACUUGUGAGAGGCGGAGGCGGCCCAAGCCGUGCCCUC